rnacentral:rRNA from 1 species
GACGAACGCUGGCGGCGUGCCUAAUACAUGCAAGUCGAGCGGAUGAUGAAGAAGCUUGCUUCUUCUGAUUUAGCGGCGGACGGGUGAGUAACACGUGGGCAACCUGCCCUGUAGAUUGGGAUAACUCCGGGAAACCGGGGCUAAUACCGAAUAAUCCAUUUCCUCACAUGGGGAAAUGUUAAAAGACGGUCUCGGCUGUCACUACAGGAUGGGCCCGCGGCGCAUUAGCUAGUUGGUGAGGUAACGGCUCACCAAGGCGACGAUGCGUAGCCGACCUGGGAGGGUGAUCGGCCACACUGGGACUGAGACACGGCCCAGACUCCUACGGGAGGCAGCAGUAGGGAAUCUUCCACAAUGGACGAAAGUCUGAUGGAGCAACGCCGCGUGAGUGAAGAAGGUUUUCGGAUCGUAAAACUCUGUUGUGAGGGAAGAACAAGUACGAGAGUAACUGCUCGUACCUUGACGGUACCUAACCAGAAAGCCACGGCUAACUACGUGCCAGCCGCCGCAGUAACAC